rnacentral:tRNA from 1 species
UCCCUCGUAGCUCAGUUGAUAAAGAAUCUGCCUGCAAUGCAGAAGACCUGGGUUUGAUUCCUGGGUUGGGAA